UACGUAGGGUGCAAGCGUUAAUCGGAAUUACUGGGCGUAAAGCGUGCGCAGGCGGUUUUGUAAGACCGAUGUGAAAUCCCCGGGCUUAACCUGGGAACUGCAUUGGUGACUGCAAGGCUUGAGUGUGUCAGAGGGAGGUGGAAUUCCGCGUGUAGCGGUGAAAUGCGUAGAGAUGUGGAGGAACACCGAUGGCGAAGGCAGCCUUCUGGGCCAACACUGACGCUCAUGCACGAAAGCGUGGGGAGCAAACAGG
rnacentral:rRNA from 1 species